GAUGAAGAACGUAGUGAAAUGCGAUAAGUAAUGCGAAUUGCAGAAUUUCCGUGAGUCAUCGAAUCUUUGAACGCACAUUGCGCCCACUGGUAUUCCGGUGGGCAUGCCUGUUCGAGCGUCAUUAUCCUCCCUCAAACCUCGGGUUUGGUGUUGACCCAAGUUGUGUGAACAACUGGUCUUAAAGACAAUGACGGCGUCCGUGGGACCCUCGGUGCAACGAGCUUUUAGGAGCACGCGUCGAGUUUCAAGGACCUUCCGGGCCGGUCUCCUUUACCAUUUUACAAGGUUGACCUCGGAUCAGGUAGGAAUACCCGCUGAACUUAAGCAUAUCAAUAAGCGGAGGA
rnacentral:misc_RNA from 1 species